UGUAUGAGUUGUGWUUGGGWUGAUUUUGCUGGCUGGCUCCGUGCUCUUGCAUCGAACGGUUGGCAUGCAAUCCUCAGUUGUGGCGGUGCGUCGUUGCGGUUCCUGUGUUGGCUACCUCUUGAAAGGUAUUCGUGUGGCUUGUCGGAUCUUGUCCAUCCAGUUCUCCUCAAGGGGGGUCCUGGGGGACAUCGAAGGGAUGCAUGUGCUCCACGUUAGCUGUUCCUUAUCGAUCAACCAACUGUGGCGCAUAUGCGUUCGCUGCUCUCUCGGAUGCGGUGCAUGAGAUGAAACAUGGGAAAUUUUCCCAUUCAAUCUCUUGAAUCUCGGUUGGCUCGGAUGACACUUGCCUCCUUGCUUGCUUGCUCUCCAUUCGUGGGUUGCUCGCAGGCAUCGAUGAGCAAAGUUGUUGAUGGAUG
rnacentral:misc_RNA from 1 species